GCAUUGCGACCCCAGGUCAGGCGGGACUACCCG
rnacentral:rRNA from 1 species